rnacentral:sRNA from 1 species
UUUCCGUAGGUGAACCUGCGGAAGGAUCAUUGACGCGGAAGGCGACCGACACGCGAACCGUCACUUCUCGACCGCGGGCUCGCGGGCGCGGCCUCUGKGCGCGCGGCCGGCCGAGCUCGAACACCCCGAGGGCGCURCGCGCGCCAAGCAGACGAAGUGAGAGGGCGCGUCGGCGCACCCGGCCGGCGCCGGGGACGCCGCGCGCGCCUGCGAAGGAAAGUACGACUCUCGGCAACGGAUAUCUCGGCUCUUGCAUCGAUGAAGAACGUAGCGAGAUGCGAUACGUGGUGUGAAUUGCAGAAUCCCGCGAACCAUCGAGUCUUUGAACGCGAGUUGCGCCCGAGGCCGCUCGGCCGAGGGCACGCCUGCCUGGGCGUCACGCCCCCCGAUCGCUCCCCCGCGGCGCCGCGGGGAGGCGGAGACUGGCCGUCCGCGCACCGCCCCGGCGCGCGGUCGGCCCAAAUGCGCGUCGCCGCGCGGCGCGGCGCGACGUGUGGUGGUCUGGAGGCGAGGCUCGUCGCCGAUCGGACGUCGCGCCGCCCUCUCUCGCGCUGGGCGCCGCCGCAGGGACCCUGCCCGCCCGCUCCGGCGGGCGCUCGGACAGAGACCCCAGGUCAGGCGGGACCACC